GGACCUGUAUGGGCCAUGACAAACGGGUGAUCCUGAACCCCGAGAAAAAGUUUCAAGCUUGAUGUGCUUCUCCCAAAUACUGUGACGAUUGUGAUAAUCCUUUGCUUUAUAUUUUCCUUGUGUAUUUAGUGGUGCUUGGCAAUUAACUUUUUCCUGUUGUUUGCAAUUCAUGAUCUGCAUGUGAUGAGUCUUGUGCUCACUGAGUUGCAGUGUAUAAUCCUUGCUUACUUUUUCAGGUAGUACCCAAAAUUUGACAGAUACUCUGGGCCAAAUUACUUAUAUUAAAAUAUUACUUAGGUCCUAUCAGUUUUCCUUUUGUAUGAUGAUAAUAAUUAUUAAUGUUUGAUAAUUGGUUAUACCAUUGAGUAUGAUUUUAGAUAGUUGAGUAUAACAUGGAUUUUGAUUAGUUUGUCACAUCUAUAUUUGCUACCCAUUCAUAAACAGUCCUGUCCUUUUCCGGAUAGUGGCGAUAUCUGAACAGGCAUCGAAGCCAGCAGGAGAGUCCUCUAAUUCAGAAAAUUCUUCAAAUACCUUGGAUUGGAAUGGAAAUCAUUCGAUAUGCGUCCUGUCAUUGGUGCCACAGAAGGUCUUUUGCAUUUCACAUGCUUCCUUGUCUGGGAUAUGAUUAUGGUGGCUGAUGUUAUUUUACAAGAUGAAGUUGUCAGUUGCAUUUUAGAUGAGAAACAUGAACCAAGAGAGGCAUUUAAGUCUGAGGGCCAUCCAAUGUUCAUGAAGAUGGUAAUAAUGGGUUUCCAUAUCAAUGCCAAGCAGUAAAGUUGGCCCCAGAGAUGCGGACGGCAAUGCUUAUAAGCAUGACAUUGAAGCCUGACUUUCAUAGAUUUACUCGAUGUCAUUUCAGCCUUUUCCUAACAUUUCAGCCAUGAACUUCCUAUGAUUUUUUGGGGUUUAUAUGUCUAGACUUUUGCAUGAGUUGGUAAGAAACUAUAGAUUUAAUGACCUAUAAGAUUAAUAAUCUUUCAUUACUAGUAUCGCCAAAGAAAUGCACAGGUUUCAGCUUUUCUGACGGUGCAUAUACUUGAAGACUUAGCAUCCAAGCCCUACAGAGAGCUCAAUGGUUUUGGAGGCGAAUCAGUAAGUACGAAGAAAUCUCAUUUCCAUGUCCUAUUGCUUCCUAGAUGUUAUUAAGCAGCCACAGUUGAUGGCCCUUCUCAUCCAAGUUCUAGAGAGAGAUCACUAGUCUUGGAGGCGAAUCAGAAAGUAUGAUGAAAUCUCAUUUUUCCAUGUCCUAUUGCUAAUUCCUAGAUGUUAUAUGCAGCCAAAGUUGCAGGAUGUCAAUGGAGGAAAACUGAGAACAACAUAACAUCUAUUGGGCUAACUUGCAAAUGUUCUAGACUCAACAAUUGAUUGGAGCUAGGUUUUGGUCUUGGAAGUGAAGCUUGAUCUUUAAAGCAAAUGUGUAGUCUUCUAAAUGCUGAGAAUGAUGGUCCGGCACUUCAUUCCAAGUCUACUCUUGCCCUACCAUCAUUAAGUUCAAAGUUCAAACCCACCACAUAAUAAAAAAAAUAAAAUCCCUUUAUUUAGCAGGAAAGUAAAAGAAUAAUAAUAAAGAAAAAAGAUCUUUUAAUGGUAAUGGAAAACCACGCUUCGGGACCCAACGCGUGUCGCCCAUCCCUCACCAUCUCACCGGAGGGCAGGAACAGGAACUUAGCUUUCUUGUUUCCCCAGUAGAAGGACAUGAGAGGUGUGGGGAGAAGAAAAUAACUAAUCAGACGAUGUGUCUCUCUCAUUAGCACAGUGGGUUUUCCCCGAUGGAAGGGAACAAAUUAUUGAAGCAAAUUAGAAAAUUAUGGAGUGGGCCAGAUAUGACUAAUUCUUGUCAAAUUAUUAAGAUUGUGAUUUCCAUAUAAAUAAUACAAUCACAGUUGAUAUUGUUUUA